UCAGUUUCCACUUUGAGGAGGAACGAGUCGAUGUACUUGUAGCUACUGAAACUCAAAUCUGAGAACAGUGAUCUCAAAGAUGAACGGCAACCGAAGGCAACAAACAACUACAAAACGAUCUUGCUGAAAUUGAAAAAGAAUUAACUGAGGGAGGGACUAGCGUCCACGACCUUGAGAAAGCUAAAGAGAAACUUGAACAAGAACUUGAAGAAAUCAAUCUCAUGAUGGAGGUGGUUGUGGUUUACCAUUACCAUGGUUACAUUGAUUAUGUUUGCAAGAGAACAAAGGCCAAUUGGAAGUAGAGCAGAACACUGUCCUUUGUCUUCAGUUAGAAAUAUCACAGCUCAAA